rnacentral:rRNA from 1 species
ACUAUUGUCACGGGUUACCGCGGCUGCUGGCACGGAGUUAGCCGGUGCUUCUUCUGUGAGUGAUGUCCUUCCUGCCGGUUAUUGACCCGCAGGCCUUCUUCCUCACUGAAAGUGCUUUACAACCCGAAGGCCUUCUUCACACACGCGGCAUGGCUGGAUCAGGGUUGCCCCCAUUGUCCAAUAUUCCCCACUGCUGCCUCCCGUAGGAGUCUGGGCCGUGUCUCAUCCCAGUGUGGCUGAUCAUCCUCUCAGACCAGCUACGGAUCGUCGCCUUGGUGAGCCGUUACCUCACCAACCAGCUAAUCCGACAUAGGCUCAUCCGAUAGCGCGAGGCCCGAAGGUCCCCC